CAACCUCAACUCAUAUGGGAUUACCCCCUGAAUUUAAGCAUAUUAAUGAGGGGAGGAAAAGAAACUAACAAGGAUUUUCUUAGUAGCGGCGAGCGAAAAGAAAAUAGUUCAGCACUAAGUCACUUUGUCUAUAUGUCAAAUGUGAGAUGCAGUGUAUGGAAUAUCUUAAUAUCUAGUAUGAGAAAUUAACGAUUUAAGUCCUUCUUAAAUGAGGCCAUUUACCCAUAGAGGGUGCCAGGCCCGUAUAACGUUAAUGAUUACUAGAAAGAUAUUUCCAAAGAGUCGUGUUGCUUGAUAGUGCAGCACUAAGUGGGUGGUAAACUCCAUCUAAAACUAAAUAUAACCAUGAGACCGAUAGUAAACAAGUACCGUGAGGGAAAGUUGAAAAGAACUCUGAAUAGAGAGUUAAAUAGUACGUGAAACUGCUUAGAGGUUAAGCCCGAUGAACCUGAAUAUCCAUUAUGAAAAAUUCAUCAUUAAAUAAUUAAAAAUAAUGUGCAUUUUUUUCAUAUAAGGACAUUGUAAUCUAUUAACAUAAUAAAAGUAUUUAUCAAAAGAUCAUUGGUGAUAUUAAGUUUAUUUAAAUUAAUUUGCUUUUUAAGCAUAUUAACAUAGAAUAAAUACUAAUGAUUUGAUAAAGUGUUGAUAGAUUUUAUUAUAUAUAAUGCUAAAAUUCAUUUUUUGAAUUUUACAAAAAAUUUAAUAUCUAUGAUAUUAAUAUUUAUUUGUAUGCAUUUAUAUGAUUAACAAUGCGAAAGAUUCAGGAUACCUUCGGGACCCGUCUUGAAACACGGACCAAGGAGUCUAACAUAUGUGCAAGUCAUUGAGUUAUAUUAAACUUAAUGGCAUAAUUAACUUAACUUAAAAAUAUAAUGGGAUUAAUUUUUAGUCUAUUUUCUUAAAUAGUCAAUUAAUUCAAUCCCGGGGCGUUCCAUAUAGUUAUGUAUAAUGAUAAUUUAUUAUUAUUUAUACCUCUAACUGGAGCGUACCUUGAGCAUAUAUGCUGUGACCCGAAAGAUGGUGAACUAUACUUGAUCAGGUUGAAGUCAGGGGAAACCCUGAUGGAAGACCGAAACAGUUCUGACGUGCAAAUCGAUUGUCAGAAUUGAGUAUAGGGGCGAAAGACCAAUCGAACCAUCUAGUAGCUGGUUCCCUCCGAAGUUUCCCUCAGGAUAGCUGGUGCAUUUAAAAAUUAUAUAAAAUAAUCUUAUCUGGUAAAGCGAAUGAUUAGAGGCCUUAGGGUCGAAACGAUUUUAACCUAUUCUCAAACUUUAAAUGGGUAAGAACCUCACCUUUCUUGAUAUGAAGGUUGAGGUUAUGAUAUAAUGUGCCCAGUGGGCCACUUUUGGUAAGCAGAACUGGCGCUGUGGGAUGAACCAAACGUAAUGUUACGGUGCCUAAAUUAACAACUCAUGCAGAUACCAUGAAAGGCGUUGGUUGCUUAAAACAGCAGGACGGUGGACAUGGAAGUCGUAAUCCGCUAAGGAGUGUGUAACAACUCACCUGCCGAAGCAACUAGCCCUUAAAAUGGAUGGCGCUUAAGUUGUAUACCUAUACAUUACCGCUAAAGUAGAUGAUUUAUAAAACAAUUUCGAUUGAUUUAUAAAUUUUGAAACUUUAGUGAGUAGGAGGGUACAAUAGUGUGCUUAGAAGUGUUUGGCGUAAGCCUGCAUGGAGCCGCUAUUGGUACAGAUCUUGGUGGUAGUAGCAAAUAAUCGAAUGAGACCUUGGAGGACUGAAGUGGAGAAGGGUUUCGUGUGAACAGUGGUUGAUCACGAGUUAGUCGGUCCUAAGUUCAAGGCGAAAGCCGAAAAUUUUCAAGUUUUUAAUAAAAAAAAAUAUUAAUAAAAUUUAUAUAUAUAUAUUAAAAAAUAAUUAAAUACUUGAAUUAUUUUGAACGAAAGGGAAUACGGUUCCAAUUCCGUAACCUGUUGAGUAUCCGUUUGUUAUUAAAAAUGGGCCUUGUGCUCAUCCUGGCAACAGGAACGACCAUAAAGAAGCCGUCGAGAGAUAUCGGAAGAGUUUUCUUUUCUGUUUUAUAGUCGUACUACCAUGGAAGUCUUUCGAAGAGAGAUAUGGUAGAUGGACUAGAAGAGCAUGACAUUUACUGUUGUGUCGAUAUUUUCUCCUCGGACCUUGAAAAUUUAUGGUGGGGUCACGCAAACUUCUCAACAGGCCGUACCAAUAUCCGCAGCUGGUCUCCAAGGUGAAGAGUCUCUAGUCGAUAGAAUAAUGUAGGUAAGGGAAGUCGGCAAAUUAGAUCCGUAACUUCGGGAUAAGGAUUGGCUCUGAAGAUUGAGAUAGUCGGGCUUGAUUGGGAAGCAAUACCAUGGUUUAUGUACUCGUUCUGGGUAAAUAGAGAAUUACGAUUCUUGUUCCCCGGAUAGUAGUUACGUAGCCAAUUGUGGAACUUUCUUGCUAAAAUUUUUAAGGAAUUAUAUCAUUCGAUAUAUAUUCUUUUUAAAUUAUAACGAUUAUCAAUUAACAAUCAAUUCAGAAC